rnacentral:rRNA from 1 species
CGAUGUCGAUUUAGAGGUUGUGGUCUUGAACCGUGGCUUCUGGAGCUAACGCGUUAAAUCGACCGCCUGGGGAGUACGGCCGCAAGGUUAAAACUCAAAUGAAUUGACGGGGGCCCGCACAAGCGGUGGAGCAUGUGGUUUAAUUCGAUGCAACGCGAAGAACCUUACCUACUCUUGACAUCCAGCGAAUCCUUUAGAGAUAGAGGAGUGCCUUCGGGAACGCUGAGACAGGUGCUGCAUGGCUGUCGUCAGCUCGUGUUGUGAAAUGUUGGGUUAAGUCCCGCAACGAGCGCAACCCUUAUCCUUUGUUGCCAGCGCGUUAUGGUGGGAACUCAAAGGAGACUGCCGGUGAUAAACCGGAGGAAGGUGGGGAUGACGUCAAGUCAUCAUGGCCCUUACGAGUAGGGCUACACACGUGCUACAAUGGCAGAUACAAAGAGAAGCGACCUCGCGAGAGCAAGCGGAACUCAUAAAGUCUGUCGUAGUCCGGAUUGGAGUCUGCAACUCGACUCCAUGAAGUCGGAAUCGCUAGUAAUCGUAGAUCAGAAUGCUACGGUGAAUACGUUCCCGGGCCUUGUACACACCGCCCGUCACACCAUGGGAGUGGGUUGCAAAAGAAGUAGGUAGCUUAACCUUCGGGAGGGCGCUUACCACUUUGUGAUUCAUGACUGGGGUGAAGUCUACAAGGGGG